GAUGAACGCUAGCUACAGGCUUAACACAUGCAAGUCGCGGGGCAGCAUGGGGGUUGCUUGCAAUCCCCGAUGGCGACCGGCGCACGGGUGAGUAACGCGUAUCCAACCUGCCCUUCACCACGGGAUAACCCGGCGAAAGUCGGACUAAUACCGUAUGUUGUCCAUUGACGGCAUCCGAUUUGGACGAAAGGUUUGGCGGUGAAGGAUGGGGAUGCGUCCGAUUAGCUGGACGGCGGGGUGACGGCCCACCGUGGCGACGAUCGGUAGGGGUUCUGAGCGGAAGGUCCCCCACACUGGAACUGAGACACGGUCCAGACUCCUACGGGAGGCAGCAGUGAGGAAUAUUGGUCAAUGGGCGUAAGCCUGAACCAGCCAAGUAGCGUGCAGGAUGACGGCCCUAUGGGUUGUAAACUGCUUUUAUGCGGGGAUAAAGUGGCCCACGUGUGGGUUUUUGCAGGUACCGCAUGAAUAAGGACCGGCUAAUUCCGUG
rnacentral:rRNA from 1 species